rfam:Ipomoea nil DNA, scaffold: scaffold2942, cultivar: Tokyo-kokei standard.
GUCAGGAUGGCCAAGUGGUCUAAGGCACCAGACUCAAGUUUUGGUCCUCGUGAGAAGGCUUGGGUUCAAAUCCCACAUUUGACA